rnacentral:rRNA from 1 species
GUACGUAGGGUGCAAGCGUUAAUCGGAAAUUACUGGGCGUAAAGCGUGCGCAGGCGGUUUUGUAAGUCUGUCGUGAAAUCCCCCGGGCUCAACCUGGGAAUUGCGAUGGAGACUGCAAGGCUAGAAUCUGGCAGAGGGGGGUAGAAUUCCACGUGUAGCAGUGAAAUGGCGUAGAGAUGUGGAGGAACACCGAUGGCGAAGGCAGCCCCCUGGGUCAAGAUUGACGCUACAUGCACGAAAGCGUGGGGAGCAAACCAGGAUUAGAAACCCCUUGUAG